rnacentral:tRNA from 1 species
UCAUAGCUCAACUGGUAGAGCACCUGAUUUGUAAUCAGGGGGUUCCGGGUUCAAGUCCUGGUGG